UUUCAAUUGUACUUGAGCUUUUUACAUGAUAAAUGAAAAGAUUAUUUCAAUUAAGUUCUCCUAAUGCAAUAUUUAUGUUCGUUAAACUAUUUAAUAGAAUUUAAUAUUACAAUGAAAAUCAUUAGAAAAUAAACACGCUAUUCACGAAAAUUUUAGGAAGAAUCCUUUGACCGAAUUGUGAUAAGGUAUCAACCAACUGUAAAUCUUUAGUUUCCGGUAAAAAUAAGGUCAAAAUACUAUUAAUAAUAGAAAGUGUGCCAAACAAAGCAAAGGGA